rnacentral:rRNA from 1 species
AUACGGAGGAUCCAAGCGUUAUCCGGAUUUAUUGGGUUUAAAGGGUGCGUAGGCGGUUUUAUAAGUCAGCGGUGAAAUUUUCCGGCUCAACCGGGAUACUGCCGUUGAUACUGUAAGGCUAGGAUAUGGUUGCUGUGGGUGGAAUGUGUGGUGUAGCGGUGAAAUGCUUAGAUAUCACGAGGAACUCCGAUUGCGCAGGCAGCUCACUAAACCACUACUGACGCUCAUGCACGAAGGCGUGGGGAUC